rnacentral:tRNA from 1 species
AUUUACAUAGUUUAAAAAAAACAUUUUAUUUUCAUUAAAAAAAAGGUAAAAUUACCUGUAAAUU